GCGUCAGUAGUAAAACGGGCUAGAGCACGCGCUCCCGUAUAGAGUGAUAAUGCGGGUUCGAGUCCCGCCUGACGCG